rnacentral:rRNA from 1 species
GGGUUGUGAGGUUAAGCGACUAAGCGUACACGGUGGAUGCCCUGGCAGUCAGAGGCGAUGAAGGACGUGCUAAUCUGCGAUAAGCGUCGGUAAGGUGAUAUGAACCGUUAUAACCGGCGAUUUCCGAAUGGGGAAACCCAGUGUGUUUCGACACACUAUCAUUAACUGAAUCCAUAGGUUAAUGAGGCGAACCGGGGGAACUGAAACAUCUAAGUACCCCGAGGAAAAGAAAUCAACCGAGAUUCCCCCAGUAGCGGCGAGCGAACGGGGAGCAGCCCAGAGCCUGAAUCAGUGUGUGUGUUAGUGGAAGCGUCUGGAAAGGCGCGCGAUACAGGGUGACAGCCCCGUACACAAAAAUGCACAUACUGUGAGCUCGAUGAGUAGGGCGGGACACGUGGUAUCCUGUCUGAAUAUGGGGGGACCAUCCUCCAAGGCUAAAUACUCCUGACUGACCGAUAGUGAACCAGUACCGUGAGGGAAAGGCGAAAAGAACCCCGGCGAGGGGAGUGAAAAAGAACCUGAAACCGUGUACGUACAAGCAGUGGGAGCCUCUUAAUGGGGUGACUGCGUACCUUUUGUAUAAUGGGUCAGCGACUUAUAUUCUGUAGCAAGGUUAACCGAAUAGGGGAGCCGAAGGGAAACCGAGUCUUAACUGGGCGUUAAGUUGCAGGGUAUAGACCCGAAACCCGGUGAUCUAGCCAUGGGCAGGUUGAAGGUUGGGUAACACUAACUGGAGGACCGAACCGACUAAUGUUGAAAAAUUAGCGGAUGACUUGUGGCUGGGGGUGAAAGGCCAAUCAAACCGGGAGAUAGCUGGUUCUCCCCGAAAGCUAUUUAGGUAGCGCCUCGUGAAUUCAUCUCCGGGGGUAGAGCACUGUUUCGGCAAGGGGGUCAUCCCGACUUACCAACCCGAUGCAAACUGCGAAUACCGGAGAAUGUUAUCACGGGAGACACACGGCGGGUGCUAACGUCCGUCGUGAAGAGGGAAACAACCCAGACCGCCAGCUAAGGUCCCAAAGUCAUGGUUAAGUGGGAAACGAUGUGGGAAGGCCCAGACAGCCAGGAUGUUGGCUUAGAAGCAGCCAUCAUUUAAAGAAAGCGUAAUAGCUCACUGGUCGAGUCGGCCUGCGCGGAAGAUGUAACGGGGCUAAACCAUGCACCGAAGCUGCGGCAGCGACACUAUGUGUUGUUGGGUAGGGGAGCGUUCUGUAAGCCUGUGAAGGUGUACUGUGAGGUAUGCUGGAGGUAUCAGAAGUGCGAAUGCUGACAUAAGUAACGAUAAAGCGGGUGAAAAGCCCGCUCGCCGGAAGACCAAGGGUUCCUGUCCAACGUUAAUCGGGGCAGGGUGAGUCGACCCCUAAGGCGAGGCCGAAAGGCGUAGUCGAUGGGAAACAGGUUAAUAUUCCUGUACUUGGUGUUACUGCGAAGGGGGGACGGAGAAGGCUAUGUUGGCCGGGCGACGGUUGUCCCGGUUUAAGCGUGUAGGCUGGUUUUCCAGGCAAAUCCGGAAAAUCAAGGCUGAGGCGUGAUGACGAGGCACUACGGUGCUGAAGCAACAAAUGCCCUGCUUCCAGGAAAAGCCUCUAAGCAUCAGGUAACAUCAAAUCGUACCCCAAACCGACACAGGUGGUCAGGUAGAGAAUACCAAGGCGCUUGAGAGAACUCGGGUGAAGGAACUAGGCAAAAUGGUGCCGUAACUUCGGGAGAAGGCACGCUGAUAUGUAGGUGAAGUCCCUCGCGGAUGGAGCUGAAAUCAGUCGAAGAUACCAGCUGGCUGCAACUGUUUAUUAAAAACACAGCACUGUGCAAACACGAAAGUGGACGUAUACGGUGUGACGCCUGCCCGGUGCCGGAAGGUUAAUUGAUGGGGUUAGCGGUAACGCGAAGCUCUUGAUCGAAGCCCCGGUAAACGGCGGCCGUAACUAUAACGGUCCUAAGGUAGCGAAAUUCCUUGUCGGGUAAGUUCCGACCUGCACGAAUGGCGUAAUGAUGGCCAGGCUGUCUCCACCCGAGACUCAGUGAAAUUGAACUCGCUGUGAAGAUGCAGUGUACCCGCGGCAAGACGGAAAGACCCCGUGAACCUUUACUAUAGCUUGACACUGAACAUUGAGCCUUGAUGUGUAGGAUAGGUGGGAGGCUUUGAAGUGUGGACGCCAGUCUGCAUGGAGCCGGCCUUGAAAUACCACCCUUUAAUGUUUGAUGUUCUAACGUUGGCCCCUGAUCGGGGUUGCGGACAGUGUCUGGUGGGUAGUUUGACUGGGGCGGUCUCCUCCUAAAGAGUAACGGAGGAGCACGAAGGUUGGCUAAUCCUGGUCGGACAUCAGGAGGUUAGUGCAAUGGCAUAAGCCAGCUUGACUGCGAGCGUGACGGCGCGAGCAGGUGCGAAAGCAGGUCAUAGUGAUCCGGUGGUUCUGAAUGGAAGGGCCAUCGCUCAACGGAUAAAAGGUACUCCGGGGAUAACAGGCUGAUACCGCCCAAGAGUUCAUAUCGACGGCGGUGUUUGGCACCUCGAUGUCGGCUCAUCACAUCCUGGGGCUGAAGUAGGUCCCAAGGGUAUGGCUGUUCGCCAUUUAAAGUGGUACGCGAGCUGGGUUUAGAACGUCGUGAGACAGUUCGGUCCCUAUCUGCCGUGGGCGCUGGAGAACUGAGGGGGGCUGCUCCUAGUACGAGAGGACCGGAGUGGACGCAUCACUGGUGUUCGGGUUGUCAUGCCAAUGGCACUGCCCGGUAGCUAAAUGCGGAAGAGAUAAGUGCUGAAAGCAUCUAAGCACGAAACUUGCCCCGAGAUGAGUUCUCCCUGACUCCUUGAGAGUCCUGAAGGAACGUUGAAGACGACGACGUUGAUAGGCCGGGUGUGUAAGCGCAGCGAUGCGUUGAGCUAACCGGUACUAAUGAACCGUGAGGCUUAACCUUACAACGCCGAAG